CCACCCCCUGCCUCCGCCCCUGUCUGCCAUAUAAAAAGUCAAAGAUCUGCACUGAGAAACAGACGAAAUACAGCAAGCUCUCUAUGUGCAGUAUUCCUGGCUGAUUUCAGUGAGAAACAAUGGGAUUCUGGACCAUCUCUGUGUCUCUCUGUCUGCUCUUUGUUAUGAAUGCAUCAGGAGCCUGUCGGUUUGGGGGGACUCGAUAGGGACAUGAAUGCUUCAAGGUUUUUAAAAA